CCUACGGGUGGCUGCAGUGGGGAAUAUUGGACAAUGGGCGAAAGCCUGAUCCAGCCAUGCCGCGUGUGUGAAGAAGGCCUUCGGGUUGUAAAGCACUUUCAGUGGGGAAGAAAGCCUUGGGGCUAAUACCCUCGAGGAAGGACAUCACCCACAGAAGAAGCACCGGCUAACUCCGUGCCAGCAGCCGCGGUAAUACGGAGGGUGCGAGCGUUAAUCGGAAUUACUGGGCGUAAAGCGCGCGUAGGCGGUCUGAUAAGCCGGUUGUGAAAGCCCCGGGCUCAACCUGGGAACGGCAUCCGGAACUGUCAGGCUAGAGUGCAGGAGAGGAAGGUAGAAUUCCCGGUGUAGCGGUGAAAUGCGUAGAGAUCGGGAGGAAUACCAGUGGCGAAGACGGCCUUCUGGACUGACACUGACGCUGAGGUGCGAAAGCGUGGGUAGCAAACAGGAUUAGAUACCCGGGUAGUC
rnacentral:rRNA from 1 species